rnacentral:rRNA from 1 species
ACGUAGGGUGCGAGCGUUAAUCGGAAUUACUGGGCGUAAAGCGUGCGCAGGCGGCUCUAUAAGACAGAUGUGAAAUCCCCGGGCUUAACCUGGGAACUGCGUUUGUGACUGUAGGGCUUGAGUGCGGCAGAGGGGGGUGGAAUUCCACGUGUAGCAGUGAAAUGCGUAGAGAUGUGGAGGAACACCGAUGGCGAAGGCGGCUUUCUGGCCCGUAACUGACACUGAGGCGCGAAAGCGUGGGGAGCGAACGG